CCUACGGGGGGCAGCAGUGAGGAAUAUUGGUCAAUGGGCGAAAGCCUGAACCAGCCAAGUCGCGUGAGGGAUGAAGGUUCUACGGAUCGUAAACCUCUUUUAUAAGGGAAUAAAGUGAGGGACGUGUCCUAUUUUGCAUGUACCUUAUGAAUAAGGAUCGGCUAACUCCUUGCCAGCAGACGCGGUAAUACGGAGGAUCCGAGCGUUCUCCGGAUUUAUUGGGUUUAAAGGGUGCGUAGGCGGCCUUUUAAGUCAGCGGUGAAAGUCUGUGGCUCAACCAUAGAAUUGCCGUUGAAACUGGGGGGCUUGAGUAUGUUUGAGGCAGGCGGAAUGCGUGGUGUAGCGGUGCAAUGCUUAGAUAUCACGCAGAACCCCGAUUGCGAAGGCAGCCUGCCAAGCCAUGACUGACGCUGAUGCACGAAAGCGUGGGGAUCAAACAGGAUUAGAUACCCUUGUAGUC
rnacentral:rRNA from 1 species